rnacentral:rRNA from 1 species
UACGGAGGGGGCUAGCGUUGUUCGGAAUUACUGGGCGUAAAGCGCACGUAGGCGGCUUUGUAAGUUAGAGGUGAAAGCCCAGGGCUUAACCCUGGAAUUGCCUUUAAGACUGCAUCGCUAGAAUCGUGGAGAGGUGAGUGGAACUGCGAGUGUAGAGGUGAAAUUCGUAGAUAUUCGCAAGAACACCAGUGGCGAAGGCGGCUCACUGGCCCGGUACUGACGCUGAGGUGCGAAAGCGUGGGGAGCAAACAGG